UGGGGAAUAUUGCACAAUGGGCGAAAGCCUGAUGCAGCAACGCCGCGUGAGGGACGACGGCCUUCGGGUUGUAAACCUCUUUAGCAAGGAAGAAGCGAAAGUGACGGUACUUGCAGAAAAAGCGCCGGCUAACUACGUGCCAGCAGCCGCGGUAAUACGUAGGGCGCAAGCGUUAUCCGGAAUUAUUGGGCGUAAAGAGCUCGUAGGCGGUUUGUCGCGUCUGCUGUGAAAACCCGAGGCUCAACCUCGGGCCUGCAGUGGGUACGGGCAGACUAGAGUGCGGUAGGGGAGAUUGGAACUCCUGGUGUAGCGGUGGAAUGCGCAGAUAUCAGGAAGAACACCGAUGGCGAAGGCAGAUCUCUGGGCCGUAACUGACGCUGAGGAGCGAAAGGGUGGGGAGCAAACAGGCUUAGAUACCCUGGUAGUCCACCCGUAACGUUGGGAACUAGUUGUGGGGUCCAUUCCACGGAUUCCGUGACGCAGCUAACGCAUUAAGUUCCCCGCCUGGGGAGUACGGCCGCAAGGCUAAACUC
rnacentral:rRNA from 1 species